rnacentral:rRNA from 1 species
UACGUAGGGUGCAAGCGUUGUCCGGAAUUAUUGGGCGUAAAGAGCUUGUAGGCGGUCUGUCGCGUCUGCUGUGAAAACUCGGGGCUUAACCCCGGGCCUGCAGUGGGUACGGGCAGACUAGAGUGCGGUAGGGGAGACUGGAAUUCCUGGUGUAGCGGUGAAAUGCGCAGAUAUCAGGAGGAACACCGGUGGCGAAGGCGGGUCUCUGGGCCGUAACUGACGCUGAGGAGCGAAAGCAUGGGGAGCGAACAGG